rnacentral:lncRNA from 1 species
CCUCUCUCUCUACGUAUAACAAAAUUGUAUAGGUAAUUUAUCUAAUACAUAUGACCUCUCUUCUUUAUGCUAUAUAUAUAGCCUCUCUUUAUGUAUAAAUAUAGCAUUUUUUUUUCUCUCUCUCUCUCUCUCUUUAUAUAUAUAUAUAGAUAUAUACAUUAUAUAACAAAAAAGAAAAGGAAGAAAGAAGACAUAGUUG